rnacentral:lncRNA from 1 species
CAGAGGGCGGAGUGGGGAGCAGAGAGGAAGCAGAGGGAACAGAGGGAAAAGGGGUAGCUCAGUUUGGGAAGGCCUCUUGGAGGAGGUGAGCUCUCAACACAUACCACGGUUAUUAUUAUUAUCAUUAUUAUCACUAUUAAAAUUCUUGUUAUUAUCAUUUGUUCUCUAGCCCCCUGGAGAACAGUCAUCUGCCCCUGAGAAAUCUAUCAAGUUUUUCUGAACUUCAGGCAUUUUGCAAUGUGAGAAAUGCACUGGUCAACCACAAGCACUGUGCUAAACAAAAUGUCCGAAGAGCAAGAGCCAGAACUGACGAGAUUGCUUGGUUCAGCCAUUCUAGGUUUGGUUCAAUGAUUAGGAGCAUACAGUAAAGAUGAAAGACACAGACUUGUCCUCAAGGAUUUUACAUUGCAAAGAGGAGAGGUUCACCUUACUUUAGUCCUAAAUCGGGCCCAAAAGACAGAAGGUGAGUCUCUCUUUGUUUUUAUUUUUUGUUGAUGUUGUUUUUGUUUUUUAAUGGUGUUUGUAAAGCACUAUGUGCCAGACACACAACCGAGUCCCUUCAGCCUCUGAUUUCAAGCAAGUCAGAGACAGGGGAAUGAAACCCUGAAGGAAGUUAGAUUGUGACUAACCACUAGGUGACACUGUCUCUAUUCCUUGAGCUUGGUGGACCCGUUUAGAACCAGGAGAACCGAUUUUUCUCCGCCAUCCUUUAAAAGCGAUCCAGGCCAAACCAUCUGCCAAACUGAAAUUUAAGGAAGCCUAUCCCUAUUGGGAUGGGAGAGAAACACAUGCAUGCACACCCACAUGCGUGAAUUCAAAUAAAUUCACGGACUAGCACGCCUGUAUCGUUCUCUCUCUUUCCAUCUCCCCCUCUGAGGAAGGACCUUCUAGUGGAGGGAAACGUUGCUGUCAAACGGCCUCCCUCAGGAUCAACCACAUUUCCAGGCAGAUUGGGACUGGAGAUGAGAGCCAGGAUUGAAGGAAGGGAGAGAGCCGGUGAAAGAGCCAAGAGAAACACUGCAGAUUAAAAAAAAAAAUGGUAUUCGUUAAGCGCUUACCAUGGGCAAAGCACUGUUCUAAGCGCUGGGGGAUAUAAGGUGAUCAGGUUGUCCCGUGUGGGGCUCACAGUUUUAAUCCCCACUUUACAGACGAGGUAACUGAGGCACAGAGAAGUUAAGUGAUUUGCCCAAAGUCACACAGCUGGCAAGCGGCGGAGCCGGGAUUCGAACCCAUGAACACUGACUCCCAAGCCCGGGCUCUUUCCACUGUACCAGGCUACUUCUCUGUAAUAAUAUAAUGUAAU